rnacentral:rRNA from 1 species
ACUGCUCAGUAACACGUAGCUAACUUACCCUUAGGUCAGGGAUACCCUCGGGAAACUGAGGUUAAUACCUGAUAAGAGAUAUACCCUGGAAAGAUUUAUCUCUCAAAUUCGAGCCUAAGGAUAGGGCUGCGGCGGAUUAGGUUGUUGGCGGAGUAAUAGCCCACCAAGCCGAAGAUCCGUAAGGGCUCUUAGCGGAGAGGCCCUGAGAGGGAAUCUGAGACACUAUUCCCAGCCCUACGGGGUGCAGCAGUUAGGAAUAUUCUUCAAUGCGCGAAAGCGUGAAAGAGCAAGCCAGAGUGCGUUCAAUUUGAAUGCUUUUGCCAAAUGUAAAAAGUUUGGCGAAUAAGGACUGGGAGAGACGGGUGCCAGCCGCCGCGGUAAUACCCGCGGUCCAAGUCGCAGCCAUCAUUAUUGGGUCUAGAACAUCCGUAGCUUGCUUAGUAAGUUCUUUGUGAAAUCCUAUGCCUCAAACAUAGGGCGUGCAAAGAGUACUGUUGAGCUAGAGACCGGAAGACGCAAAAAGUAUGUUCAAAGUAGCGGUUAAAUGCGUUAAUCUUGGACAGACUAAUAACAGCGAAGGCAUUUUGCGAGGACGGUUCUGACAGUUAGGGAUGAAGGCUAGGGGCGCAAAGUGGAUUAGAUACCCAUGUAGUCCUAGCAGUAAACACUGCACACUAUACAUUAGUACCUCUUCGAGAGGUAUUGGUGCUGUAGAGAAGUCGAAGAGUGUGCUACCUGGGAAGUAUAGCCGCAAGGCCGAAACUUAAAGGAAUUGGCGGGGGAG